rnacentral:rRNA from 1 species
GGUUGCGAUCAUACCAGCACUAAUGCACCGGAUCCCAUCAGAACUCCGCAAUUAAGCGUGCUUGGGCGAGAGUAGUACUAGGAUGGGUGACCCCCUGGGAAGUCCUCGUGUUGCAACCGCC